UACGUAGGGUGCGAGCGUUGUCCGGAAUUAUUGGGCGUAAAGGGCUCGUAGGCGGUCUGUCACGUCGAAAGUGAAAACUCAGGGCUCAACCCUGAGCCUGCUUCCGAUACGGGCAGACUAGAGGUAUGCAGGGGAGAAUGGAAUUCCUGGUGUAGCGGUGAAAUGCGCAGAUAUCAGGAGGAACACCAGUGGCGAAGGCGGUUCUCUGGGCAUUACCUGACGCUGAGGAGCGAAAGCGUGGGGAGCAAACAGG
rnacentral:rRNA from 1 species